GCAAAAAGUGUCUGCCGUCUCGUGCCUCUUUCUUAUUGAAAGGGCACGAGAGAAUAGUAUCAAGAGGCUCCUCGUUCGGGCCGUUGAAGAUGGUAUCUGGUGCUUCGGCGGAGACGGGAGGAGCGGCCGUUUCUCGGGUCAUCACAGCCCAUUCCUUCUAAUGUUUACACUGAACUUGUCGCAAUCCCUCCUCUAAAUCUCAUUCAUCCAUUCAUUCAU
ensembl:ncRNA F07A11.9 ncRNA